AGUGAACGCUGGCGGCAGGCCUAAUACAUGCAAGUCGAACGGCAGCACAGUGGAGCUUGCUCCAUGGGUGGCGAGUGGCGGACGGGUGAGGAAUACAUGGGAAUCUGCCCAGUCGUGGGGGAUAACGUAGGGAAACUUACGCUAAUACCGCAUGCGCCCUUCGGGGGAAAGCCGGGGACCUUCGGGCCUGGCGCGAUUGGAUGAGCCCAUGUUCGAUUAGCUAGUUGGCGGGGUAAAGGCCCACCAAGGCGACGAUCGAUAGCUGGUCUGAGAGGAUGAUCAGCCACACUGGGACUGAGACACGGCCCAGACUCCUACGGGAGGCAGCAGUAGGGAAUAUUGGACAAUGGGCGCAAGCCUGAUCCAGCCAUGCCGCGUGAGUGAAGAAGGCCCUCGGGUUGUAAAGAUCUUUUGUCCGGAAAGAAAAGCGUUGGGUUAAUACCCCGGCGUCCUGACGGUACCGGAAGAAUAAGCACCGGCUAACUUCGUGCCAGCCGCCGCCGUAAUAC
rnacentral:rRNA from 1 species